GGGAGGAGGGAGGAGAGAGCCGGGCACCGCCUCUGCCACCGCCCGGGGGAGGAGCCGCGGCCGCGGCCGGCGGAAGGGGCCGCACUGGGGCUGCGGUUCCGCCCCCUCGGGAGAGGGGCCGGCUGAGGGUGGGAUGAGGGGUUGAGGCGGCGCUGCCGCCGUUCGGGGGGCCCUGCGAGUGAGCCAUUGCUGUGAGAGCCGCCGUCAGUGACCCACAGGCCACAGGAGAUUCUGAAGUAAGGGGACGCUGUUAGGUCGCAGUUAAGCGACAGCAGCCUCGUGCCUGGUCGUGCCUUAGACAAUGAUUAAAUCCUCGGCCACGGUGGCACAAGGAGGUUCUGAUUAACAGCAGCGAUUCUCGACUCAGCAGAUAACCCCAAAUGAGUGUCGCCAAGAUCAGAUGCUCGAAAGUCACAGGGACUCCUGGACUUCCUUGGGAGAUGUGUCCGACCUGACCAGUGUUUGCCCUUCAAAAGGAUGAGUUUAAAGAGCAGAAAAUGUGACACUAUCAGACAGAAAGUCCUGUUUAUUAUUACUGUUACUUCAUAACUGUGGCCUUCAGUGUCAAUGGUUGUCACCACCACUGCUGCAUGUGCAUCCUUUAUACCUUUUGUAGACAAGCUAGAAAAUAAAGAUGUACCUUCUUUUCUUCAAAAUUGAA